rnacentral:ncRNA from 1 species
CCCAAAACCAAAAAAAUGUUUUGGUCCUAAACCUGUCACUACUUUUUACUUGAUUUACACAUGCAAGCAUCUGCACCCCAGUGAGAAUGCCCAUAAGUUUAAUAACAAAUGGAGCUGGUAUCAGGCACACUUAUUAGCCAAUGACACCUUGCCCUGCCACACCCCCACGGGCCUACAGCAGUGAUUAAUAUUAUACAUAAGCGAAAGCUUGAUUUAGUUAAAGUAACAACUAAAGGCCGGUAAAUUUCGUGCCAGCCACCGCGGUUAUACGAAAGGCCUAAAAUAGUGACUCCCGGCGUAAAGCGUGGCCAGACCUGAUUAUAUAAGGAUGAACCUCUUCUUCGCUGUAAAACGCCUAAGAAGAAAUGAACACCAACCCUUAGACUAUUGACCCCACGAAAGCUAAGACACAAACUAGGAUUAGAUACCCUACUAUGCUUAGCCAUAAACUUAGAUAAUAUAAUACCACUUAUCCGCCAGAGAACUACAAGCAAAAUACUUAAAACUCAAAGGACUUGGCGGCAUUUCAUAUCAACCUAGAGGAGCCCGUCCAGUAAUCGAUAAUACGCGUUCAACCCUACCAUUUUUGGCAACUCCAGCCUAUAUACCGCCGUCGUCAGCUAACCUUGUGAAAGAACAAUAGUAAGCAAAAUAGCCUACACAAAAACGUCAGGUCAAGGUGUAGCUCAUAAAAUGGAUGUGAUAGGCUACAUUUUCUACUUUAGAAAACACGGAUAAUACAAUGAAACUUGUAUAAGAAGGUGAAUUUAGAAGUAAACUAAGACAGGACCCUUACUUUAACACCGCCCUGAAAUGCGCACACACCGCCCGUCACCCUCCUCAAAAUUAGAUGAGGCAAG